AGUGAACGCUGGCGGCAGGCCUAACACAUGCAAGUCGAGCGGCAGCGGGUCCUUCGGGAUGCCGGCGAGCGGCGGACGGGUGAGGAAUACAUCGGAAUCUGCCCUGUCGUGGGGGAUAACCUAGGGAAACUUAGGCUAAUACCGCAUACGACCUACGGGUGAAAGCGGGGGAUCGCAAGACCUCGCGCGACAGGAUGAGCCGAUGUCCGAUUAGCUAGUUGGCGGGGUAAAGGCCCACCAAGGCGACGAUCGGUAGCUGGUCUGAGAGGAUGAUCAGCCACACUGGGACUGAGAAACGGCCCAGACUCCUACGGGAGGCAGCAGUGGGGAAUAUUGGACAAUGGGGGCAAGCCUGAUCCAGCCAUGCCGCGUGGGUGAAGAAGGCCUUCGGGUUGUAAAGCCCUUUUGUCCGGGAAGAAAUCGUCUGGGCUAAUACCCCGGGCGGAUGACGGUACCGGAAGAAUAAGCACCGGCUAACUUCGUG
rnacentral:rRNA from 1 species